UGUUGUUGUUGCUGGUUGUUGUUGUUGCUGGUUGUUGUUGUUGCUGUUGUGGUUGUUGUUGUUGUUGCUGUGGUUGUUGCUGUGGUUGUGGUUGUUGCAGUUGUUGUUGCUAUGGUUGUUGUUGCUGUUGCUGUUGCUGUGGUUGCUGUGGUUGGUUGUUGUUGCUGUUGUGGUUGUUGAUGUUGUUGUUGCUGUGGUUGUUGAUGUUGUUGUUGUUGCUGUGGUUGUUGUUGUUGCUGUGGUUGUUGCAGUUGUUGUUGUUGUUGUUGCAGUCGUUGUUGUUGCAGUUGUUGUGGUUGUUGCAGUCGUUGUUGUUGCUGUGGUUGUUGUUGUUGCUGUGGUUGUUGUUGUUGCUGUGGUUGUUGUUGUUGCUGUGGUUGUUGUUGUUGCUAUGGUUGUUGUUGUUGUUGUUGUUGCAGUCGUUGUUGUUGCUGUGGUUGUUGUUGCAGUCGUUGUUGUUGCUGUGGUUGUUGUUGUUUUGUUGUUGUUGCAGUCGUUGUUGUUGCUGUUGUUGUUGCUGUUGUUGUUGUUGCAGUCGUUGUUGUUGCUGUGGUUGUUGUUGUUGCAGUCGUUGUUGUUGCUGUGGUUGUUGUUGUUGUUGCAGUCGUUGUUGUUGCUGUGGUUGUUGUUGUUGCAGUCGUUGUUGUUGCUGUGGUUGUUGUUGUUGCAGUCGUUGUUGUUGCUGUGGUUGUUGCUGUGGUUGUUGUUGCUGUGGUUGUUGCUGUUGCUGUGGUUGUUGUUGUUGCAGUCGUGGUUGUUGCAGUCGUGGUUGUUGCAGUCGUGGUUGUUGCAGUUGUUGUUGUUGCUGUGGUUGUGGUUGUUGUUGUUGCUGUGGUUGUUGUUGUUGUUGUUGCAGUCGUUGUUGUUGUUGCGCAGAGCCAUGAUGAAUUUGACUUCUUUCAACAGUUCAUACUUUUUGACACCAACAUUGAUUUACAACACACAGUCCCAUAAUGCACCAUCCCUCCAACUCCACUCACAGACCAGAGAAUUCCCAUAAUGCCCAUCUUCUCUCUAGCUUCAGAAGACUCCAGAGAAACCUACAACCCAGUUAGGAGAAGCAGAUGAACAAUCCUUCUCUUCCAGAGAAUUCCCAUAAUGUCCACAAGUCUAACAAGUCUAUCUUCUUCUUCUUCUUCUCUCCAGCUUCAGAAGACUCCAGAGAAACCUAACCCGCCACAGAGCCAGACUAGACAGCGAUGGACAGAGGAAGAUAUCCAAUAAACUCAGCAUCAUCUUUUGGGGACCUUCGUGCUCUUCCAUGGACACGACUUGAUAUAACCGUUUUACACACACACACACACACACGUUAGCCUGUGUCAGUGGGGACCGGACCACCUUGGCUUGGAGAACUCUUUUGGCCUUCGAUGUUGUACUGUAAACGAAUGAUGUGUUUUGUCACUAAAAUGGUGACCAGAAAAUGUUGAUGUUACGUUAUGUUUCUUUCUUGUCUAGGGCUGCAAAAUUCUGGCAAAUUUCAAAAGUUUCCUAGAUUUUUCCAGAAAUCUCAUUUGGAAGAUUCCGGAGUUCAGCAAGAAAUCUGUAAUCCUAGAAACUAGGGUUUCUGGAAAAUACUUUGAAAUUUGAGCAAAAAUUUUUCAGCAUUUUGCAACACUAUUCUUGUCACACCAUGCUCAUCUGGAUUUGUAGUUUUCUUCUGGCUAUAUAUAAAAAAAAAAUCUGUGAUUCUGUUGUAAGAAACUACAGUGGACUUUAAAUGUAAAUCUAAAAAAAAGUACAGUUAUUUAUAGAUGAAAUUUAGCUUUUUGAAGAUGCUAUAUCUAUUUUAAUGUUUCAUUUUGUUUUUUCAUGCCUUUUUGUAUCGUGCAAUUCCAUGGGUACUGUGAUGUACAAGAUCCUAGUAUUGACAGUGAUAAAGAUGGCAUUUUGUAA